GGAGAGGUGGGUGAGUGGCUGAAACCACCAGUUUGCUAAACUGACGUACUUGUAAUGGGUACCGGGGGUUCGAAUCCCCCCCUCUCCG
rnacentral:tRNA from 1 species